rnacentral:rRNA from 1 species
GACGAACGCUGGCGGCGUGCCUAAUACAUGCAAGUCGAACGCUGAGGCGCGGCUUUUGCUCUGCUUGGGUGGGUUACGAACGAGUGAGUAAUGCGUAAGUAGCCUGCCUUUUAGCGGGGGAUCACGAUAAGAGACGCUAGCUCAUACCGCAAAACAAUGGAUGACGCAGUUGUUUUAUUUGAAAGGGCCAAUUGCUCUACUCCAACAUCGACCUGCGUUGUUUUAGCUAGUAGGGGAGGUCAAGGCUCACCCGGGCGGCGAUACAUAGCCGACCUGCGAGGGUGAGCCGGCACACUGGGACUGAGACACGGCUCAGACUUCUACGGGAGGCAGCAGUAGGGAAGGUUCGGGAAGUGGGGCAAAUCUGACCGAGCAACGCCGCGUGAUGGAAGAAGGUUUUCGGAUCGGAAAGCUCUGUUGUGAGGCAAGAACGAGUGUGAGAGUGGAAAGUUGACGCUGUGACGGUAGCUUACCAGAAAGGAACGGCUAACUACGUG